ensembl:lncRNA
CUGACAAGCGCGAUUUCCAUUGCGCUCGCCCCUGCGCCGCUAUUUACUUUGAAACCCGAUUAGAACGGACCGUCUAUUGUCGCUAAAGAGGAAGAAACCCCGGUUAGACCGGGUGAAAAGCUAAGGGCGAGCAGAACGCAUGUGAAAUAAAUAGUGGCGCGGGGGUGAAAGGGGCUCGAGUCGAACCCCUGAAAGUUUUGGGACGCUUUGUUCAAAGCUGUAGUCUUAAUUAGGCUACGAACAUUGGCUGAUCCCCGAUAUGUCAACGGUUAUACAUGCAGCAAACAUUUCACCGCCCUUAAUGAUUCCAUCACCAAGUAAUCCAAAUCACACCGAUCAACAAAAUGAUCAGCAAUAAAAUGCACACAUUCGUCGCGUGCAGUUCUCAAUGAACGGCGCAAAAGACGAAGUAAAAGUACCGGGAUGCGCGCGAGCUGCUGCCAGUUUGGCCACUGUAAUAGCGGCGUCUAUAUAAUGGGAUGCGAUAUCAUGACGGAGAGAGGGAAUAAAAGGUCGAUAGCUUAGACACAGAGGGCGAAGCCUAAUGUUUUGACUCUUAAAAGGUGAUUCUGAAUGUUAUUGUUUACCGGUGUUGUUUUUAUUGAUCCAAUAAGGGCGGAAGUUCCUGCUGUAAUGGCAAAGCAAACCGGCUUUUUUUGUGCAUGAAUACUGAAGCUCGCGCUUCACUACAGGCUUUACAGGCUUAUAAUGUCUGGAUCGGGCUGCCAUCUAGCGUACAGUAGCUAGACAAUUACAGGGAAAUAGGAGUGAAUAAUUUAUUGUUAGCGGGUAUUUUACAAAAUAUUGCUUAGGACUUUUUUUUUCUUUUUCUUUUUUUUGCAUUUAAUGAGGUUUGCUUUAUUGAUGUAUUUUUGUUAAUGAAAAAAAAGAAGCAUUUUGACUGUAUUUCCGGCAAUUUAGUUAAACCUUAAUGCUUUUGGUAAAAUAAGAUAUUCAGAUCAUUUGGCGUAAGUUCGAUUAUUAGUUCGGAAGCAUUGUUUUUAUUCAAUUAAUUGUUUAUUUUUUUUAGGCUUUAUGAUUUAUAUUGUGUAAACACCGAUAUUUAGACGAUUGUAAAUAUAAUACCUCACGUAAACACGUAUACGGACAAAAUUCCAGCGAAGCAUUAUUUCGGAAGUUAGACAUUAAUGAGGCUCAAAACAUCGCUGUUUUUGGUGAAAGAGUGUUUGCGCAUCGUCUCUUCUGUUCCGCAAACGCACCGCGCUGCCCUCUGUCCUCGGCACACAAAAAAAGGUGAAACGAAGGGGAUUAAAUCAGACAAAGGGCAAACUUCUGUAAGUGUAUCAUCAAGAUUUUACUCCACAGACUGGGAAGAGAGCGAGGGAGAGGCGAGAGAGAGGGAGAGGGGCAGCGAAUGGGAACGCAAGGCGAAGGCAGGGAAACAGCGAGAGAGAGAGAGGGAGAAGAGAAGAAGGAGAAGUGGACACCGCUGCAAACACACGCCGCUACACUGCAACACCGUUCCCUGGAAUUCUGCUCGUUUCGCACAGGUUUGGCUAACAGUGAAACUUGAGCAGCUGCAGGGUCACGGGGAGCCUGGAGCCUUUCCCAGGGAACUCGGGGCAGAAGGCGGGGGACAACCUGGACGGGGUGCCAUCACAUCGCAGGGCACAAUCACACACCUUCACACACUAUGGACAAUUUGGAAAUGCCAAUCUGCAUUUGAACUGGGGGAGGAAACCUGGAGUACCUGGAGGAAACCCCUGAAGUACAGGGAAAAGAUGGAAACUUCGCAUGCAGGGCUGAAGCGGAAUGUGAACCCCCAACCUCAGUAGGUGCGAGACAACCACUAAGCCACCAUGCUCACCAUGAUCUUGUGUUAGUAGGUGUACUUCAGAAGAUUUUUCCAUCUACCACCACUUACCUGCUGGAAAACGUGGUUCACUAGUACAACCAGCUCAGCCUGUGUUUUGGCAGCUGGUCAUACUAAGCUGGACUUGAAUACUUACCCUAGACAUCUACGCAGACCCGUUUCAUUACCAGACAUAUUAGCAGACACUCAAACUGAAAUUCUGACCUU